rnacentral:rRNA from 1 species
GAACGUACCCUUCAGUUCGGAACAACCCAGGGAAACUUGGGCUAAUACCGGAUACGUCCGUAAGGAGAAAGAUUUAUCGCUGAAGGAUCGGCCCGCGUCUGAUUAGCUAGUUGGUGAGGUAACGGCUCACCAAGGCGACGAUCAGUAGCUGGUCUGAGAGGAUGAUCAGCCUCACUGGGACUGAGACACGGCCCAGACUCCUACGGGAGGCAGCAGUGGGGAAUAUUGGACAAUGGGCGCAAGCCUGAUCCAGCCAUGCCGCGUGGGUGAUGAAGGCCCUAGGGUUGUAAAGCCCUUUCGGCGGGGAAGAUAAUGACGGUACCCGCAGAAGAAGCCCCGGCUAACUUCGCGCCAGCAGCCGCGGUAAUACGAAGGGGGCUAGCGUUGCUCGGAAUCACUGGGCGUAAAGCGCACGUAGGCGGAUUGCUAAGUCAGGGGUGAAAUCCCGGAGCUCAACUCCGGAACUGCCUUUGAUACUGGCGAUCUCGAGUCCGGGAGAGGUGAGUGGAACUGCGGGUGUAGAGGUGGAAUUCGUAGAUAUUCGCAAGAACACCAGUGGCGAAGGCGGCUCACUGGCCCGGUACUGACGCUGAGGUGCG